UGGAUCCAGACUUUGAUUCUGGCUCAGGAUGAACGCUAGCUACAGGCUUAACACAUGCAAGUCGAGGGGCAGCGAUGAAGAAAGCUUGCUUUCUUCAGGCGGCGACCGGCGCACGGGUGAGUAACGCGUAUCGAACCUGCCUCAUACUCAGGAAUAGCCUUGCGAAAGUAAGAUUAAUGCCCGAUGUUAUUAGGAUAUCACAUGAUGUUUUAAUUAAAGAUUUAUCGGUAUGAGAUGGCGAUGCGUCCCAUUAGCUUGUUGGCGGGGUAACGGCCCACCAAGGCAUCGAUGGGUAGGGGUUCUGAGAGGAAGGUCCCCCACAUUGGAACUGAGACACGGUCCAAACUCCUACGGGAGGCAGCAGUGAGGAAUAUUGGUCAAUGGACGCAAGUCUGAACCAGCCAAGUAGCGUGCAGGAAGACGGCCCUCUGGGUUGUAAACUGCUUUUAGGUGGGGAUAAAGUGCACCACGUGUGGUGUUUUGUAUGUACCAUCAGAAAAAGGACCGGCUAAUUCCGUGCCAGCAGCCGCGGUAAUACGGAAGGUUCAGGCGUUAUCCGGAUUUAUUGGGUUUAAAGGGAGCGCAGGCGGACCUUUAAGUCAGCUGUGAAAUACGGCGGCUCAACCGUCGAACUGCAGUUGAUACUGGAGGUCUUGAGUGCACACAGGGAUACUGGAAUUCAUGGUGUAGCGGUGAAAUGCUCAGAUAUCAUGAAGAACUCCGAUCGCGAAGGCAGGUAUCCGGGGUGCAACUGACGCUGAGGCUCGAAAGUGCGGGUAUCAAACAGGAUUAGAUACCCUGGUAGUCCGCACAGUAAACGAUGAAUACCCGCGAUUUGCGAUACAGUGUAAGUUGCCAAGCGAAAGCGUUAAGUAUUCCACCUGGGGAGUACGCCGGCAACGGUGCAACUCAAAUGAAUUGACGGA
rnacentral:rRNA from 2 species